rnacentral:rRNA from 1 species
UACGUAGGGUGCAAGCGUUAAUCGGAAUUACUGGGCGUAAAGCGUGCGCAGGCGGUUUUGUAAGUCUGAUGUGAAAGCCCCGGGCUCAACCUGGGAAUUGCGUUGGAGACUGCAAGGCUUGAAUCUGGCAGAGGGGGGUAGAAUUCCACGUGUAGCAGUGAAAUGCGUAGAGAUGUGGAGGAACACCGAUGGCGAAGGCAGCCCCCUGGGUCAAGAUUGACGCUCAUGCACGAAAGCGUGGGGAGCAAACAGG